AUUGAACGCUGGCGGCAGGCCUAACACAUGCAAGUCGGGCGAGAGGCGGACGGGUGAGCAAUGUAUGGGGAUCUGCCUGAGGGAGGGGGAUAACUACUGGAAACGGUAGAUAAUACCGCACAACAUCCGAUGAACUCAUAUGGGAGUAGCUUGUCGGUGAGGUAACGGCUCACCUAGGCGACGAUCCCUAGCUGGUCUGAGAGGAUGAUCAGCCACACUGGGACUGAGACACGGCCCAGACUCCUACGGGAGGCAGCAGUGGGGAAUAUGGCACAAUGGGCGCAAGCCUGAUGCAGCCAUGCCGCGUGUGUGAAGAAGGCCUUCGGGUUGUAAAGUACUUUCAGUCGGGAGGCGUUGCCGACAGAGGAGGCACCGGCUAACUCCGUGCCAGCAGCCGCGGUAAUUC
rnacentral:rRNA from 1 species